GAUGAACGCUGGCGGCGUGCCUAAUACAUGCAAGUCGAGCGAACAGACGAGGAGCUUGCUCCUCUGACGUUAGCGGCGGACGGGUGAGUAACACGUGGAUAACCUACCUAUAAGACUGGGAUAACUUCGGGAAACCGUAGCUAAUACCGGAUAAUAUUUUGAACCGCAUGGUUCAAAAGUGAAAGACGGUCUUGCUGUCACUUAUAGAUGGAUCCGCGCUGCAUUAGCUAGUUGGUAAGGUAACGGCUUACCAAGGCAACGAUUCAUAGCCGACCUGAGAGGGUGAUCGGCCACACUGGAACUGAGACACGGUCCAGACUCCUACGGGAGGCAGCAGUAGGGAAUCUUCCGCAAUGGGCGAAAGCCUGACGGAGCAACGCCGCGUGAGUGAUGAAGGUCUUCGGAUCGUAAAACUCUGUUAUUAGGGAAGAACAUAUGUGUAAGUAACUGUGCACAUCUUGACGGUACCUAAUCAGAAAGCCACGGCUAACUACGUG
rnacentral:rRNA from 1 species